UACGUAGGGGGGCAAGCGUUGUCCGGAUUUAUUGGGCGUAAAGAGCGUGUAGGCGGCCAUACAGGUCAGCUGUGAAAACUCGAGGCUCAACCUCGAGACGUCGGUUGAAACCGUAUGGCUAGAGUCCGGAAGAGGAGAGUGGAAUUCCCGGUGUAGCGGUGAAAUGCGCAGAUAUCGGGAAGAACACCCAUGGCGAAGGCAGCUCUCUGGGACGGUACUGACGCUGAGACGCGAAAGCGUGGGGAGCGAACAGG
rnacentral:rRNA from 1 species